UACAGAGGGGGCAAGCGUUGUUCGGAAUUACUGGGCGUAAAGGGCGCGUAGGCGGCCAUCUAAGUCGAACGUGAAAUCCCCGGGCUCAACCCGGGAACUGCGUCCGAUACUGGUUGGCUUGAAUCCGGGAGAGGGAUGCGGAAUUCCAAGUGUAGCGGUGAAAUGCGUAGAUAUCUGGAGGAACACCGGUGGCGAAGGCGGCAUCCUGGACCGGCAUUGACGCUGAGGCGCGAAAGCCAGGGGAGCAAACGGG
rnacentral:rRNA from 1 species